rnacentral:ncRNA from 1 species
GUAAAUGCUAUGAAUGGGAAGAGUAGAUACAUUUCCCUCCGACAGAGAAGGGCGUCACUGGCUGAGAGCGUCCUCGGAACAAUGUAUUGAAGUGCGCCCUGGAGCAGGACGACAGAAAUUCAGUAUGUCGUCACGGCGGCAGUCGUUAUCGAUGCUGAGCGGGGCGGUUUGCCGCCCAAGCAGAGUGGGACCGCGGACCACCGCCUCUGUA